AACUCUUAACCACGGAUAUCUUGGCUCUCGUAACGAUGAAGAACGCAGCGAAAUGCGAUACGUAGUGUGAAUUGCAGAAUUCCGUGAAUCAUUAAAUCUUUGAACGCAUAUUGCGCUCGAGGCUUCGGCCAAGAGCAUGUCUGCCUCAGCGUCGGGUUAAU
rnacentral:rRNA from 1 species